GGAACAGUCAACAUAAUCAACUUAGACAUUCUGAGUCCAACCCAAUGGUCACCUUAUUGAGCUGUUCCCUGCUUGAAAUGUCCCCCGGUCCACUUGUUGCUGAGGGCCACACCUGGUUCAUGUCUGCAUUUCUGGCCUCUAGCACAGGGCACAUCCUGAACUUGGAAAAAGACAGGGGAUAUGGCAUGUGGUACACCUGCCCCCUCCCCCUGGGAGACUGAUAACCUUAAUUGUCAAGUGAGUGUCAUAUUUCAAAUGAACAUUUAUUCAGUAC
ensembl:lncRNA